GUGUUCUUCAGCAGCACACAAACUAAAACUGGAGCAAUACAGAGCGGAUUAGCACGGCCCCUGUGCAAAGGAUGACACACAAAUUUGUUAAGUGUCCCAUUAUUUU